rnacentral:antisense_RNA from 1 species
GCGAGCCCAGCUGGGGUGGUAAAUAGAGUACAGUACAUCACCAUGUAACAAAUGCAGACAUCUCUGAGAUCACCAUGCAGUGAGGAAGUCCAAGAUGGUGGCAGGAAGAGGCCACAUGGAAAGGGCUAAAAAAGGGGCCAGCCUCAGUCAUCCCGGCUGAGCACCUGGCUGGGAAUAAAAGAGGACUCCGUGGAUGUCCAGCCCAGUAAGAUGACCUCAGCCCCAGCCACCAACUGACCACGCACACAAGACAUAGUGAGGCUGCCUGCUGGAGCCUGGCCAGUGGGACUGUAGAGUAACUCAUUGUCGUGCAGGAACUCCUGGGAUGGUGUUGCCCAGUGACACAAUCCCAGUGUGGCCAUUUCUGAUCCUGAGAAAGCAGUCAGGAGUGGGUGGAUGCAGUUACAGUUCAUCAAGUCCUGCUAGUUCAAGUCAUGAGUCCUGAAUUCUCCAGGAGGAGCCACUAAAGAAAUGCAAAAGCAGGCAAUCCUUGCAAUAAAGCCAGCAAACUGCCAGUGUGAAGGAUGCCCAGGUAACCCGCCCACGCCAGAAUGGCCAGGAGAUGGUGGAACCAGAAUCUAAGCCCACGCCCAUCUGACUUCAAAGUCUGUGCUCCUGAUGUUUGCACCGAGUCACCUCCUAAGACUUGCUGCAACUGGAUCACGUCCAUUUACCUAUCUCUGAGAGAAAUGCAAGCUUUAAAAAAGGAAAUAUUUACUAUGGAUAUUUUACAAUAGUUCCAAAACAUGAAAGCUUUAAAUGAGAUAUUCUUAACCAUCCUCACCACAUCUUCA